AUCAAGUUAUUAGGUGAAUAGCUUGGCUCGGGAAGCGACGAAGGAUGGGACAAGCUCCAUAAUGCUCUGGCGAGGCGCAUGUAGCCAUUGAACCAGAGGUUUCCGAAUACGACUUCGUCUUAGAAUCCGAAAGGAUAGCAAACGCAGGGAAUUGAAACAUCUUAGUACCUGCAGGAAAAGAAACCAAUAGGGAUGCUGUUAGUAUCGGCGAGAAAAAACAGCGUAAGGCAAACUGAAUCUUUUAUCGAAAGAUAUUAGAGAUGUGGUGUAGUAGGACUACUUUUUCGUCCUCCUCAAACGAUCUGAAAUUUUCUGGAACGAAAUGCUCCAAAGGGUGAUAGCCCCGUAAGAGAAGUUUGAAAGGAUUUAGUAGUAUCCUGAGUAUUAUCUCUUGGAUAUGAGGUAAGAAGCUAGGAGGCAACAACUCCUAACCUUAAAUAUUCCCCGAGACCGAUAGCGUACGAGUACCGUGAGGGAAAGCUGAAAAGAACCCUUGAUAGGGAGUUAAAAGAUCUUGAAACCUAAUAACUAUAGUGGGAUACGCGCUCAAGGGCGUGUAUCGUUCGUUUUGAAUAACGUGCCAGGGAGUAAUUCUGAGUGGCGAGGAUAAUCUUUAAAAGAGUAUCCGUAGGGAAACCAAUAAACUCGCAGUUUACGAGGAGUGAGGUAUGAAAGUGCCUUAAGUCACUUGGAGCUGACCCGAAACCAAGCGAUCUAGGCCUGGGUAAGGUGAAGUCCUUGUCAAAGGGGAUGGAGGCCUGAAGAGGUUCUGCGUACAAGCGUUCUUCUAACCUGGGUCUAGGGGUGAAAAGCCAAUCGAGCUUGGUGAUAGCUGGUUCCUACCAAAGUUGGCCGUAGUCAAGUCUGGAACGAGAUAACUAAGAUGGUAGAGACACGGAUUGGAGAUUUAGGGCUGGAAACGGCUCGGUUUCCUGUCCAACUCCGAAUGUCUUAGUAUUGUAGACUUCUGGAAACGGGGGCGCGGGGUAAGCCUGCGUUCCGAGAGGGGAACAACCCAGACCGCAGUUAAGGUCCCAAAAUGCUAACUAAGUGUUAAAGGGGGAAGGAUGUUCAUGCCCAAAGACAGCGAGGAGGUUGGCUUAGAAGCAGCCACCCUAUAAUAAGUGCGUAACAGCUUACUCGUCAAGGUCGUGAGCGCCUAAAAUGGACGGGGCUAAGUUAGCUACCGAUACUGUGGACAUCAGCAAUGAUUGUGGUAGGUAGGCGUCAUGCAAGAGUAGAAGCAUGCCCGAGAGGGUUUGUGGAUCUUGUUUGAAUGAGAAUCCUGGUAGUAGUAGGAUCAGAGCAGAGUGAGAAUCUCUGUCACCGUAAGGGCAAGGGUUCCUUGACAAUGUAGAUCAGUCAAGGGUAAGUUGAUCCUAAUCAUCUUCAUAAAUGAAGUCUGAGAAAGGGAAACAGGUUAAGAUUCCUGUACUAUGUGAGUAUGCGUGGCAACACAAGUCACAUUUCUAACUGUUCGGGCUAAGUCGACAUCUAUUAUCUUGGAUGUUAAUAGGAACAAGUCAGGGGAGUAUCAUAAUGAUGAGAACCUGAUUAAAUCUUAGAACAGCGGUCCUUAAGGAUCGUUCGGCUAAUGCCUGGAUGCCAUGAAAAGGGAAUGUGAACAAAUCUCAUGUAUUCAUACCCAGAACCGGCACAGGUGCCCCUGGGUGAGAAGCUCAAGGUGUGAAGGCGUAAUCUAGUUGAGGGAAUUCGGCAAAUUAGCCCCGUUUCUUCGGUGGAAGGGGUCCCUACUAUCGUAUUUGUAUAGAUGCGAUUGUAAGGCUCAGUAACAAGGGGGGUCCGACUGUUUAACAAAAACUUAACCGACUGCUAGCCUGUAAAGGUGUGUAUAGUCGGUGACGUCUGCCCAGUGUCAGUACCUGAAUCUCCUUUUCAAGGGAGUAAAAGGCUGAUAAACGGCGGGGGUAACUAUAACUCUCUUAAGGUAGCGAAAUGCCUUGCCGUUUGAUUGACGGCCUGCAUGAAUGGCGUAACGAGAUCCCCACUGUCCCCAACUAGAGCCCUCCGAAAAUUCUAUUCCGGUGCAAAGGCCGGAGACUUCCAGUGGGAAGCGAAGACCCCGUGAAACUUUACUGUAGCCUGUUGUUGUAACGUGAGUUUGGUUGUAUAGCGUAAGUGGGAGCUGUUUGAGGAUCUGAGCGUCAGCUUAGGUUUUAGGCAAAAGUGUAACACCACUCUUUUAAGUUUACGUUACUUACUUUUAUAAGGACAUCAAUUGGUGGACAGUUUGGCUGGGGUGGCACUCUGUCGAAAAUUUAUCGAUAGAGCCCAAUGGUUAGCUCAAGCGGGUCAGAAAUCCGCUGUAGAGUGCAAGGGCAAAAGCUAGCCUAACUGGGAUCCAAACAUGACCGGUCUCAGUAUGGAAACAUUGGCCUAGCGAUCUGUUGAGACUCCUUGAUUGGGGUCCAGCAUUGACCGAAAAGUUACUCCGGGGAUAACAGAGUUGUCCCGCCCGAGAGCUCAAAUCGACGGCGGGGCUUGCUACAUCGAUGUCGGCUCAUCCUAUCCUAGUUGUGCAGAAGCAGCUAAGGGUGGGGGUGUUCACCCAUUAAAAGGAUUCGUGAGCUGGGUUCAGAACGCUGUGAGGCAGUUUGUUUGAUAUCUACUGGAAGUGUCUAAAUGUCUGAAGGGAAGGAUGGCUUAGUACGAGAGGAACGGUCAUUCGGCGCCUCUGGUCUACCAGUUACCUGACAAGGUACGCUGGGCAGCUACGCGCUAGGGGAUAAGUGCUGAAAGCAUCUAAGCACGAAACCCCCCUUGAAAAGAGACAUAGGACUCCCAUAAAAGAUGGGUUUGAUAGGAUAGAAGUGUGAGAACCGAGGCAACGAGGUUUUAAGCUUGCUAUUACUAAUCGUCCGCUUUCUAUGUU
rnacentral:rRNA from 1 species